GCCUGGGUGGCUUAGUCAGUUAAGUGUCUGACUUCAGGUCAGGUCAUGAUCUCAUGGCUCGUGAGUUCGAGCCCCGCAUCGGGCU
rfam:Felis catus isolate Cinnamon breed Abyssinian chromosome E3, whole genome shotgun sequence.